UUUAAGAAAAGGUUUAUGGUUUAGAGGAAACAACACGGUUAAAGUUUUAGGUUUGAAAUUUAGAGUUUGUGGCGAAAUUGUCAGGGUUUAGGAAAAAUCAGGGUAGUUAGUUAUGAAAAAAAAUGUGCAGAUCUAAAUAUAUGUAUAUAAAAAAAAAAAUGAAUUAAAAAAAAAACGGCGUUGCUAGCGCAAAAUUGCGAUCAUCGCAACUGGAU
rnacentral:lncRNA from 1 species